CUGCGAGUGAAGCGGGAAAAGCUCAAAUUUAAAAUCUGUCAGUCUUUGGCUGUCCGAGUUGUAAUCUAGAGAAGUGUUAUCCGCGCUGGACCGUGUACAAGUCUCCUGGAAUGGAGCGUCAUAGAGGGUGAGAAUCCCGUCUUUGACACGGACUGCCAGGGCUUUUGUGAUGCGCUCUCAAAGAGUCGAGUUGUUUGGGAAUGCAGCUCAAAAUGGGUGGUAAAUUCCAUCUAAAGCUAAAUAUUGGCGAGAGACCGAUAGCGAACAAGUACCGUGAGGGAAAGAUGAAAAGAACUUUGGAAAGAGAGUUAAACAGUACGUGAAAUUGCUGAAAGGGAAACGCUUGAAGUCAGUCGCGUCAUUCAGGGAUCAACCUUGCUUUUGCUUGGUGUACUUUCUGGUUGACGGGUCAGCAUCAAUUUUGACCAUUGGAAAAAGAUUAAGGGAAUGUGGCAUACAUAGUGAUGUGUUAUAGCCCUUGGUUGCAUACAAUGGUUGGGAUUGAGGAACUCAGCACGCCGCAAGGCCGGGUUUUUAUUAACCACGUACGUGCUUAGGAUGUUGGCAUAAUGGCUUUAAUCGACCCGUCUUGAAACACGGACCAAGGAGUCUAACAUGCCUGCGAGUGUUUGGGUGGAAAACCCGAGCGCGUAAUGAAAGUGAAAGUUGAGAUCCUUGUCAUGGGGAGCAUCGACGCCCGGACCAGACCUUUUGUGACGGUUCCGCGGUAGAGCAUGUAUGUUGGGACCCGAAAGAUGGUGAACUAUGCCUGAAUAGGGUGAAGCCAGAGGAAACUCUGGUGGAGGCUCGUAGCGAUUCUGACGUGCAAAUCGAUCGUCAAAUUUG
rnacentral:rRNA from 1 species